AUUUUUUUAUCCAUUAAAAAUUAAUUUGAUCUAUGCUUUUAAAAGUUGAUUAAUUUUUCAUGAUCAAACAAAUAUUUAAAGAAUUUUUUUUUUAAAUCUACUACUAAAAUUUAUAACCAAACGCUAUUCUAAUUAAGCAUAUAGUAUGUUUUAGCAUACAUGCAAUAUUUUUGUCAACCGAAUGUAAGUAACUUUUUAUUUGUUUAUUUUUUUACUAAGCAUAGAAUGACAUCAUCAGCAUCAGGGGCGGCUCAAGCAAAUUUAUGGCCUAAGGCAAAAAUCAAACGGAGGCCUUGUAUUUGAUUUUUUUAUAUAAAAUUUUUCUUUUUUCUAUAAAUAGU
rnacentral:lncRNA from 1 species